UGGGAGCCCUGGAUCUACGGCCUCGGGCCGGGGCGGUUUGGGGCGCCGGUAGCCGUGCAGCGCGGAGAAAAGCUGGGAGCGUGCGGCCGGGCUGGCGUCGUGCGCAAAGGCCGCCAAGCGAAGCAGGCACUCGCGGAAGCCGGACAAGUAGCAGCUGGCGAGCGCCUCGGCGUCCUGGCCUGGGGACCGGGGAACCCCUGGAGCAGCAGCCUCAGCUCUUCUAGGCUGCGGUUGAUGCGGUCCCGGCGCCGCUUCUCCACCAACGGCUUCAGCAUCUGUGACCAGCGGGAAAGGAAGAGCGGGCCGACCGGACCGAGACUCAGCGCCGCCGCGCAAGCGUCCGAUCCUGCCGCUGGGAAAACCCCCCAUGCGCCCCUUUCCCCUAAUCCCAGGCUGCUUGGGUCUGGUCCAUUCGUUUCCCUCUCACUCCCUGCUACUUCCCAGUCCCUUGGGUCGCUUUCCGUGGCUCGCCCACUUCUCCCUGCCCUUUCUGUGUUCAGCUUUCUCCUCUCUUCUCCCCUCUAUGGCACUCUUCUUUUCUCUUUAUAUCUCUAUCUUGUGUCGUCUCCCUCUCAGUGUAUCACUGAAGAACUUUAGGGCCACUCUUUGCCCCCAGGCUAGUGAGCCGCGCGAUAGAGACCUAAGGUGAAAGGCAGACACACAGUGCGACCACACCUCCUCUUCUCACUCAAACCCUUCACUCGUUCUCCUAAUAUCUCUCACCUGGCCUCGCACCUCCGGAACCAACGACUCAAAGGUCUUCUCUUUGAGUCAGAUGUGGGUUCCCAGGCGCUUACAGACAGCGUCCAUAGCCUUUCCUCUAUUUUUGUUUCCACCCUCCUCCACCAGCUAUGGCCUCUAGCUUAUCUCAUGUUAUAGUAUAGCUUCGUGGGGUUUUGUUUGUUUGUUUUAUUUUGGUUUGGUUUUUGUUUGUUUGUUUGUUUGUUUUUUCGGUAGGGGUGCACUCUGUGGCCUCGAACUUGCGAUAAUCCACCUGCCCCAGCUUCCCGAGCCCUAGAAUAGGCCACGAUGCCCAAAUUCUGGCACUUUCCUAGCCACAAGCCUUAGCCCACAAUAAUGCAAACCCCUAGACCUCCGCUUCCGCAGCCCGCGCAAGUUGGGCUCUGACCCUGCCCUCUUUAUACUUUACAGGUUCUUUCGGUCUUUUCACUCUUGUGUCUCCAUCCUCAUUCCUAGCCCACAGAGUUAGAACCUUUAAGUCCUCUGGCCUGAACAGGGACCCUAUUUCCCUCCCUUCCCACCUCUCACCUUGGGGCCGUCCCUAUUCUCAGCUCGCUCCCGGGUGACCAUUGCUCCUCCGGACCCUUCGGUGGACUCAGCGCGUGCUGCCUAGAUCCUUAUAUCCCGCCGCUGCAGGGUGCAGAGCAGAUCUACCGGAUUCUACUGGCUGGCUGUGGGAAAAGACGGCGCCGUUGUAUCUGUCUCUUCUACUCAAUUCCCACAAUAACUCCAGUACUUAUCCCUGCAGACGUAGUAAUAAGGAGAAUCUGCCGCCAAACUGACUCUAUAGAUACUGUGACUUGAGUCCCCGGGAACAGAUUUUCCUAAGGAUGGCUGGACUAAGGGAGGACAAAGGAAACUUCUAGGGGGAAAAAAAUCCUUGAAGUAUACGUGAGUGAAGAAAUCUUUCCAUUCACUACCCUUGAUCUUAGUUAGCCAAGAGGCCGAGAAGCGAUACCUUUCCGUUUACAAGAACUUGGUUUAAAACUAAAUUCAGGAGUACAGCUGGCAGGAAAACAUAGAGUGCACCAGUUGGUGGGCGCUCUGGAGGCCUCUAGGGACUGUAGGGGAGCAGGGAGACGUGAGAUUUGCUAAAGGGACAAGAAAGGUUUGGUUGCAAAAUGGGAUCUUCACCCACCUCAAACAAAGAGCAUGACCUCUCAGAAGGAUGGAUAUGUCAACACCUGGAGACUUCAGGGCGAAGUGCCUGAGAAGGUAAAAUCGAAAUUUAACACGACAAGAAGGCCUGGGGAAAGGACAUAAUAAAGACAGGGCUACAAACCGAGCCAGAAGAUAGCUGUGGAGUCAGAGACAAAGUGGAACCCCUUCCCAGAGGCCCUCCACAUCCUGAGAGGGUUUUCUGGCAAGAGGCUGCCUUGCCAAAGGCAGAGCAGGAGGGGCCCGGUACUUGAGAAAGGAGGCACCCAUUUGGGGUUAGGGCCCUCAGUACAUCCCACCUUCCCCUACUUCAGCCAAAUGGAAGCACAGAUGUGUGGUCCCAGCAGGCCCCACCGCCCCCCUCCUUGGGAACCAGGAUUGGGGUUGAGUUUUUCUCACCUGCACGUGAGGCUCGGGGCCUGAGGCAGUUUGCACCCGGGUGUGGGGCCGCCCCUGGCCAUAUGGAAUGACUUUAUGGCCCGGUGGCCGGAUCCAACGGAGAGAAAAAAAUGGCCUGACGCUCCACCCACCUCAAUGAUUCUCUACAACCUUUUCCCACACCUAGAAGUAGGAUUGGAUCUGCCUCUGAGAAGUUCACAUAGGCUUAUUAUGACCUCUCUCCUUGUCUGCAUUGGUGGUUCAGUGGUAGAAUUCUCGCCUGCCACGCGGGAGGCCCGGGUUCGAUUCCCGGCCAAUGCACAGUUCUAGCUUUU